rnacentral:rRNA from 1 species
GAUGAACGCUGGCGGCGUGCUUAACACAUGCAAGUCGAACGAUGAAGCCCAGCUUGCUGGGUGGAUUAGUGGCGAACGGGUGAGUAACACGUGAGUAACCUGCCCUUAACUCUGGGAUAAGCCUGGGAAACUGGGUCUAAUACCGGAUAGGAGCGUCCACCGCAUGGUGGGUGUUGGAAAGAUUUAUCGGUUUUGGAUGGACUCGCGGCCUAUCAGCUUGUUGGUGAGGUAAUGGCUCACCAAGGCGACGACGGGUAGCCGGCCUGAGAGGGUGACCGGCCACACUGGGACUGAGACACGGCCCAGACUCCUACGGGAGGCAGCAGUGGGGAAUAUUGCACAAUGGGCGCAAGCCUGAUGCAGCGACGCCGCGUGAGGGAAGACGGCCUUCGGGUUGUAAACCUCUUUCAGUAGGGAAGAAGCGAAAGUGACGGUACCUGCAGAAGAAGCACCGGCUAACUACGUG